UACGGAGGGGGCUAGCGUUGUUCGGAAUUACUGGGCGUAAAGGGCGCGCAGGCGGCUGCUCAAGUCAGGCGUGAAAGGCCUGGGCUCAACCCGGGAAUUGCGCUUGAGACUGGGCUGGCUUGAGUGCGGGAGAGGAUGGUGGAAUUCCCAGUGUAGAGGUGAAAUUCGUAGAUAUUGGGAAGAACACCGGUGGCGAAGGCGGCAUUCUGGACCAUAACUGACACUGAGAGACGAAAGCCAGGGGAGCAAACGGG
rnacentral:rRNA from 1 species